AUUUAACAUUUUAUUCAACCCAUAACCAUGGAUUUUUUAUUAUCUAUAAAUAGCCAAUGCCAUCAAAAGGCAAGCCCACUCCCCACCUUCUUUUUAGUGAUGGAGUCUCACUAUGUAGCCCAGUCUGGCUUUGAAAUCCUAGGCUGCAGGGACCAUUCCACUUCAGCCCCCCAAGUAGCUGGGAUUUACAGAUAUGCCUCACCAUGCACAGGUAGAGGCCUCUUUUUUUUUUUUUUUGAGACGGAGUGAAUGAAGAAUAAGCUGCUAUCAAUAGUAUGUUUGGAACAAUUACAUAAGAUAAUACUUUCAAAAAAGUUGAGAAAACACUACUUCCAUACAGCCUGAAGUGGAACCUACUAAGAUGUGCUACAAGUGAUGGUGGUAAAGGAAACGUUGUAGUGAGGCACAUUUGCAAAGCAUAUGAAAAUGUAAGAUGCUUAAAGCCUGUGGUUAUUCGCUGUAAUAACCAUCAGUAAGUACACUGUAAAGAAUAUUUUAAUUUAUCAUGUGUUAUUGAACCAGUGUGUCAACAGUGAACUUCAUUUGCAUCUCGUGGUCUUAAUAUUGUCAAUGCUUUGAACUGAAUGUUUAUGUACCCCCAAAAUUCAUAUGCUAACCCCUAAUUCCAAUAUGAUGGUAUUUGGUGGUGUGGCCUUUGGGAAGUAAUUAGGUCAUGAGGGUGGAUCUUUGUGAAUGAGAUUAGUAUCAUUAUAAGAAGAGACACAGAGAGCUUGCUUUUCUCUGCUCUCUGUCUUGUGAAAAUAUGAGAAGAUAGCCAUCUACAUCUUGGGCUUUCCAGUCUCCAGAACUGUGAAAAAUACGUGUUUGUUGUUUAAGCUACCAGUCUGUGUUAAUUUGUUGUAGCAGACUGAACUAAAACAGUUUUUGUUAGAAAUAGAAGUUGAAUAUCCUGACUUGUCCUACCAUACAGCAGUUCAUUGACAUAGUGGUGGCAAAGAGAUGUUAAGAUUUUCUUGAGCUCAGGGCUGAGAUAGAAAAUUUUCUGAACAUGCCUUCAAACACAUGUAAUAAUUAAACUUUCUGUGUCAACUUGGAUAGGCUAUGGUGUCCAGUUCUUUGUUCAAACACUAGCCUAGAUAUUGCUCUAAGGGUAUCUUGUAGAUAUAAUUAACACUUAUAAUCAACUGACUUUAAGUAAAGUAGAUUACCCUUGAUGAUAUGGGUAGGACUCAUCCAAUUAGUCAAAAGCCUUAAGAGCAAAGACUGAGAUUUCCUAGAAAAGAAAGUAUUCUGCCUCAAGACUGUAACAUUGAAAUUCUGCCUGAGUUUCCAUCCUGCUGACCUGCCCUACAAAUUUCAGACUUGUCAGCCCCACAAUUGUGUGAGCUAAUUCCUUAAAAUAAAUCUUUUUAAAAAACUUUUAUUUUAAGUUUA
rnacentral:lncRNA from 1 species